rnacentral:rRNA from 1 species
CCUACGGGAGGCUGCAGUGAGGAAUAUUGGUCAAUGGACGCAAGUCUGAACCAGCCAAGCCGCGUGCAGGAAGAAGGCGCUAUGAGUUGUAAACUGCUUUUGUAAGAGGGUAAAGCCCGAUACGUGUAUCGGGUUGAAAGGAUCGUACGAAUAAGGAUCGGCUAACUCCGUGCCAGCAGCCGCGGUAAUACGGAGGAUUCAAGCUUUAUCCGGAUUUAUUGGGUUUAAAGGGUGCGUAGGCGGUUUGAUAAGUUAGAGGUGAAAGCCCGGGGCUCAACUCCGGCACUGCCUCUGAUACUGUCGGUCUAGAGUUUAGUUGCGGUAGGCGGAAUGUAUGGUGUAGCGGUGAAAUGCAUAGAUAUCAUGCAGCACCCCGAUUGCGAAGGCAGCUUACCAAACUACGACUGACGUUGAGGCACGAAAGCGUGGGGAUCAAACAGGAUUAGCUACCCUUGUAGUC